rnacentral:tRNA from 1 species
AUUUAGCUGAGUGGCAUAAGUGCCUGCCUGGCAAGCAGGAGGUACUGAGUUCGAUCUCUGGUAUAAAUA